rnacentral:lncRNA from 1 species
GGUGAUGUUACCUUAAGUACUAUAAAAAUACAGAUGUCUCCUGGUAUCUUUUUGUUUUUAAUGUUGCAGCAAUUUUAGAAAUGCUGAUGAAGAAACAGUUUCACUUUCUAUUUGAGGAUGAAGAGUCACAAACUCCCCAAAUUCAGCUCUGGUCACAGAGCUGGUGCCCAGCCUAAGAGAAGAGCUGCCAUUGACUCAGUGUGAGUUGAAAAGACAGAGCUCCAUCAGGUGGAACGUGAUCUGUGGAAACAACCUUGCUUUUCCAAAGGUGGUCUGAUGUUCAAACACUAACUCCAACCCACUGUGUCUUGCAAAACUUCACAAGGUCAUGCUGAGGAGCAGAAAGGCUUUAAAUGAAUCCUGCACAGAAUUUUAUGGAAGUGACCACCGUCUUCAGAAUGUGCAUGAGGUGUCAAAGUAAUGCUGUUCCUGUGAAGCCGAUGCUCUUGCUCUUCUCCCUGUUCCAGGCCAUGAUGUGAGGGCUGACUGAUUCUGGGACUUCCACUGAGAGUGGGGAUUUGGGGCCAGGAGUGUCCUUAAGAAAGAUAAAAACAUGCAGCACAAUUAGGGAGUCAAAGCCCGCUAUAGAUCUGCAGAUGCUUGAGACGUGAAUCCUUACCAAAGUGAACUAAAUC